GUCUAUAGCCAUGCUACCCUGAACAAGCCAGAUCCCGUCUGAUCUCAGAAGCUACGCAGGAUCAGGCCUGGUUAGUACUUGGAUGGGAGACCACCUAGGAAGACCAGGUGCUGUAGGUA
rnacentral:rRNA from 1 species